rnacentral:rRNA from 1 species
UACGUAGGGAGCAAGCGUUGUCCGGAAUCAUUGGGCGUAAAGCGCGCGUAGGCGGCCCCGUAAGUCCGCUGUGAAAGUCAAAGGCUCAACCUUUGAAAGCCGGUGGAUACUGUGGGGCUAGAGUCCGGAAGAGGCGAGUGGAAUUCCUGGUGUAGCGGUGGAAUGCGUAGAGAUCCGGAGGAACACCGACGGCGCAGGCAGCGUCCUGGCCGCUUGCUGACACUGAGGCACGAAAGCUGGGGGAGCAAACAGG